CUUGAGGUGGUUUGCUGGGACUCACAGGCCGGGAUCCCUCUGGAACAGAUACGGCUCUUAGUCACAAGGUCCCCUCGCUAAAAUAAAGGGAUCCAUCCAGACUGAGGUCCGGAAGAGAAAGGAUGAGGGCUACGGGCUGCCGCAAGGUCCAAACCGCGCGGCUAGGCUUUUUGACUUGGGGAGGAGUUCUUGCCGGGGUUUACUGAGCCCGCGGUGGCCCUUCUGAGCCAGCGUUAGGUGUGGCCUGUACGGCGUGCGAGGACGGAACACGGGUUAAUGGAGAAGCGCGAGUGAGAACGACGGAGCCAGAAAGCACGUGGGGAGUAGGGGAAGCGCCGUUGGAUGCGCGAUUCCCGAUUCGCUGAGCCUCUGGUUCCCCUCUGAGCGACCUGGAAACCAUGGCAUCCCAGCGAUUCCUUCCAGAUGCUAAGUCCUAAGUUUCUUGAAGGUGGAAACGUGGUUGGGAAGAAAAGUGGGGUAGGCCUCCAAUCCGUGGUCAAUUCUUUUUGCAUAGGCUGAAAGAGAGGAUGAUUGUCUUUGGAGAACAUCAAGACUACAAGUGCCUGCUAUGCUUAAGAUAAACUUGCUGUGAGCAAGUUAAGAACAAUGAUGAAACCAGUGCUGAGACUGGAACGGUGCCGGCUGUAUUUAGUGGCCAAAGAAUGGAAAGGGGGAAUCUAGUUCGCAAAUCAACUUCUCAACGCAAUUCAGGUGGAGCCACCAACUAUAUUGGCAGGUCGAGGUAAAAAGCAGGCAGUUGGAAGGAGUGGGGGGAAUAUUCAUGACUUAAUGGAGAACAGGGGUGUGCUUUGGACCUGGGACUGUUGCAACGCUCCUUUUCAGUCCUUAUAUGGGCUUUUCUGGUUGUUGUCAUGGCAACCGUCAACUUCCUGGCCCUGGUGGGUGUGUCGUUUAACAUAUGCUAAUAUAUUACAGUCAGAGUAUAAUGAGGCUCAGGGUCUGCUGGAAGUCAAAUCUUCCGCCAUCUUGGGCCUGGUUGGUUCUAACCAGUUCUUUUUUUUUUUUUUUUUUUUCCUCUUUGCCGUUUCCUCCUGAAACUUAGAUAAGAAUAAUUGGUUUCCGUUCGAGGGAGGGGCAGGGGUAUGAUUCUGGGGCAACAGCCUUGGUAACAGAAUCACUUGGAUUGCUUUAAUUCUCCAAAACCUAUAGAGUUA